UGUUUGGCUGCGGAUGAAGGGGCCGGGGAUUUUGAGGGAGAGUGCGACGGGGCACUGCUAGGUGAUGAUUGGGCGGAGGCCAACCCAACAACGGCCACGAAGACGAGGGCAAGGACAACCAACUGGCGAGCCAUUUUUUUGUUUUUGUUUUUUUUGGUAGUUGGUACCCUUGUUUAUUUGUUUAUAGCAGAAAUUUUCAAAUGAUUCUUGCAAAUUGCAGUACUUCUCUAGAUUACUUAGAGAAACACUGCAGGGAUGAAAGAAUGAGGAUGGAGGAGACUGAUUGUGGAUGCUUUUUAUAGGUAAAACUAGCUGCGAAUAAGGUGGCGGGAAUGAAUGGCGGACGGUAAUGUUUGGACAUUAAUUGUUGUUUCUGAGGUUUCAAACUGAAAAGCCUGAAAUAACGAUGGUUGUGGUAACGAAAUUUGUUUUUAUAAAAACACUUUUAGCAACUAUUUAAUUACCUAUUGGACUAGUUACCUAAAUAAGAUAAUACCUAAAAAUUUGGUUAGUAAGUUUCACAUAAAAAAAUAGUAAGUUAAAUUGAUAAAUUAGCAACUUUUAUGUCUUAAAAAGUAAAUUGGAAUAGAUACGGAACUUACUCUUUUUUGAAAUAAAUUAUUACUCUAUAUCCGAAACUUAUUUUUUGGAGAGUAAGUUUAGUUCAAGUAAUAGUCAGUUUUUAUAGAUUAAUAGUAAGUAAAUCUUGUUGAUAGAAUAGUAAAUUUGGUUAAUGGUCAAAACAUACUAGUUUGUGGUAUAAAGUUACUAUUUUACUUUUAAAAAACUUAUAUGAAACAAGUAUUAGGAAGUUUAUUUGAAAUAAUGCUAAGAUUUUUUUUAUUAAUGAUUGAAACUUGGUAUUCUAGCUAAUAAUUACUCGUAAUAUAAAUGUAUGAUACACAAUUGUACAUAUCAUUUAUAAAUGUUAUAUGUUUUAAGCAUUUUGAAUAUAAUCUGAAAACUAUUUUUUUGCACAUGACCUUAUAAAAUAUAUAAAAAUAAUUUGUCAUAUUAUAAAUUCCGAAUUAUUUUUGAAUUUGCGAAAGGUUAGAAAGUUUGGGUGACAAUAAGAACAAAUUUUUCGAGUUAUAUAUAGAAUUGCACUUAUUUAUACAUCACAAUUUCCAUAUAUUAAUACAUAGGAAUAUAAUAAAAUGAUAAAGUUUCAAUAAAUUUAUUUUCUGGGUCACAAGAAUAAAAGUUAAAGUUGUAUUACAAUAACAACAAAUCUUUCAAGUUUUAUAUAAAAUAGCACUUACUUAUACAUCACAAUUUUCAUAUAUUAAUACCUAUGAAUUUAAUACAAUGGUAAAGUUUUAAUAAAUUUAUUUUCUGGGUCACAAGUAUAAAAAUUAAAGUUGUACUAACGUAGCAUAAUCUUUGAAAAUUAUAGUAAAUUUACCCAUAUGUUAAGUUCCGUGACUUUCAAAUAUACUUUGUAGCAUUUACAUUAUGGAUUUGUAUGCAUAUUUUUUAUUGGCAAAUGGUAUGUAAAUUAUUAUAAAAUGUCAUUUUAUAAUAAUCAUAAUUUUUUAUAGGUGAAUGUUUUGUAAACUGCCAAAAUUGUUAAUUUACAAAUGACUAAAUCUUACUACUUUAUGGCAUAUAUUAGUCUAAUCGACUAAAAAAAUUACUGUAAUCAUAUGUAUGUUGAUUGUUGAUCUGAAAUUUUCACCAGUAUCACUAUUUCCUUGAUUACUAGUAGUUCUUCUAAUCAAAGUAAAAUAAAAUCAAAUAUCUUUUCCUUUUGUAUGUAGUAGUUAUGUUUAGUAGAAAAUUAUUAAACCAUUUUACAAUACAUAAUUUCUCCUGAAAUUAGUAACAUUUUCCAUGACCUCUAACCUCGUCAAUAAUACUAACCACCGACAUGCAGAUAAUCUUAAGAGCAAAAGCCAUCAAUAUGACAAAAAGAGAAUAUUUUCAUGCUGAACAUAAAAAAAUUGCUAUUCUACAUAGAAUCCAAAAAAUUCAUCAUGAAUAAGAAUGAAUUGCGAAGUUAUCACAUUUCUAAUUUCAUAUGCAUCCAGAAUUUGACACAGCAUUACUUUAGAGGAACUAUCCUUUUUUCACACCAAGGAACCAACCCCAAUCUCCAUGUCCAUUUUAUUUUUUUUCUUUAACUAUUAAAUGGUGUUAAAGUUGUUAGCAGUAAAAUACUAAAUAAAUUUCAUUCCAUUUCAAGCUCUAGUUAAUUGUAUACUAAUAUUUUGUUACUAAAGGAUUGUUUUGUUAACUGUUCAAGCUCUAGUUAACUGUAGUUACUAAAGCAUUGUUUCGUUACCAUAACAAUUGUUACUAAAAGAUUCGUUACCAUAACUAUCUAUUGAAAAAAUAAACAACGGAUAAUGAAUGAAAUAUAUAGCAUUCUUAUUCUUCUUCUUCAGGUAGUUAAAGCAUACAUUGAGCGAGCAGGAGUACUAGAAAGGAGGAGCUAAGAUUUAGGGAAAACAUGGAAACUUAACCAUUGAAAGAAAAGGAAAAACAAAAAAGGGCGCGCAGCGUUACAAAUCAUGGAAGUCCUCUGAAGGGAAAAGUCCGGAGUCCGUCAACAACUAGUAACGGGACUGGACUCAAAUUGAUGUUGUUCUGGUAAUGAUACAGUAUAAACUAUAAAGCAGAGGACACGUCACAAUUCACGAUCAUGUUGCACUAUCUAAAAACAAACGGUUGCAUGAAUUUGGAAAAAUUAAACAUCGGCAACCGCUAAUCAAGCAACAAACUGCUUCAUUUCUUGGAAAAUCUUUUUCUUGCUUAAAAGUAGAAGAAUCCAGCCACAGCGGCGGCACCAAGAGCGGCAGAGGCCUUCAAGGUGGCGGCUCCAUUGCCUUUGGGUGUCUCAGCGGGUGUCUCAGCGGGUGACUGGGUUGGGGUGGCAGAGGUUGGUGAUGGGGCAUCGCUGGGUGGGGCAGGUGGCGAUGACGCCUCAGGGGUGCUGGCCUCGGGUGCGGAAGAUGGGGAGGUGGAUGGGGCGUUGGAGCUGUGGGCCGGGGAUGAUGCCUUGGGAGUGGCUGCUGAGGGGGCCUUUGAUGGUGCAUGUUUGGCUGCGGAUGAAGGGGCGGGGGAUUUUGAGGGAGAGUGCGGGGCACUGCCAGGUGAUGAUUGGCGGAGGCCAACCCAACAACCGCCACGAAGACGAGGGCAAGGACAACCAACUGGCGAGCCAUUUUUUUUUUUGUUUUUUGGUAGUUGGUACCCUUGUUUAUUUGUUUAUAGCAGAAAUUUUCAAAUGAUUUUUGCAAAUUGCAGUACUUCUCUAGAUUACUUAGAGAAACACUG
rnacentral:lncRNA from 1 species